GUAGUUGUGGCCGAGUGGUUAAGGCGAUGGGCUUGAAAUCCAUUGGGGUCUCCCCGCGAUGGUUCAAAUCCUGCCAACUACG
rnacentral:tRNA from 1 species